rnacentral:rRNA from 1 species
CAGGCCUAACACAUGCAAGUCGAGCGGAUGAAGGGAGCUUGCUCUCUGAUUCAGCGGCGGACGGGUGAGUAAUGCCUAGGAAUCUGCCUAGUAGUGGGGGACAACGUUUCGAAAGGAACGCUAAUACCGCAUACGUCCUACGGGAGAAAGUGGGGGAUCUUCGGACCUCACGCUAUUAGAUGAGCCUAGGUCGGAUUAGCUAGUUGGUAGGGUAACGGCCUACCAAGGCGACGAUCCGUAACUGGUCUGAGAGGAUGAUCAGUCACACUGGAACUGAGACACGGUCCAGACUCCUACGGGAGGCAGCAGUGGGGAAUAUUGGACAAUGGGCGAAAGCCUGAUCCAGCCAUGCCGCGUGUGUGAAGAAGGCCCUCGGGUCGUAAAGCACUUUAAGUUGGGAGGAAGGGCUCAUAGCGAAUACCUGUGAGUUUUGACGUUACCAACAGAAUAAGCACCGGCUAACUUCGUGCCAGCAGCCGCGGUAAU